UACGUAGGGGGCAAGCGUUGUCCGGAAUCAUUGGGCGUAAAGCGCGUGUAGGCGGCUCGAUAAGUCCGCUGUGAAAACUCGAGGCUCAACCUCGAGAUGUCGGCGGAAACCACUUGGCUAGAGUCCGGAAGAGGAGAGUGGAAUUCCCGGUGUAGCGGUGAAAUGCGCAGAUAUCGGGAAGAACACCUAUGGCGAAGGCAGCUCUCUGGGACGGUACUGACGCUGAGACGCGAAAGCGUGGGGAGCGAACAGG
rnacentral:rRNA from 1 species